UAAUUGAGUACCUUUUAUGAAUCGCAAAACCAUUCUUUCUUGCUUUUUGGUCCAACUUAGAUUCUUCUAAGGGAAUACGGUUGGACAAGGAAAAAACCCUCCUCUCCAAAGUACCGUCACUUGCACCUCAAGUAUAACUUUGAUGAUUACUCUUCAAGAGGACUAAGUGUGACCAGAAUCAAAAAGUAUAAUCGUCGUCUUUUAGGACAAGUGGAUGCUCAAGAGUUGGCCGGGCAAGGGUUGCAAGAUGUGACAGUAAUGAAGAACGAUGAAUUUUGGGACUAUGAAGAGCAAAUUGACUUAGAAACCUUUGAUAUCAAUUUGUUCUAUGAAAUAUUGCUGAAGCAGUCAGUUUCAGUGACGGCUAGAAUUAGCCAAAUGAAGGAAGAGGUGAAAGUAUUUUAUAAAAAAAUCGUUGCUAAAACAGAAUUGUUGUGUCAAAUCUGGACAAAUCUGACAGGUGUACCAGAAUUGGUCGAACAGGAAGUAAUGGAAAAUUUUAAAGUUAAGCAA